rnacentral:rRNA from 1 species
GGUUAACGGGGGAUUAGGGUUCGAUUCCGGAGAGGGAGCCUGAGAAACGGCUACCACAUCUAAGGAAGGCAGCAGGCGCGCAAAUUACCCAAUUCUAACAGUUUGAGAGAGGUAGUAACAAGAAAUAACAAUACAAGGCAGUUAAAAUGCUUUGUAAUUGGAAUGAUAGAAAUUUAAACCCUUUUUAAAGUAUCAAUUGGAGGGCAAGUCUGGUGCCAGCAGCCGCGGUAAUUCCAGCUCCAAUAGCGUAUAUUAAAAUUGUUGCAGUUAAAAAGCUCGUAGUUGAAGUUCUGCUAAAAGUAACCGGUCUGCUUUUAAUAAAAGUGGUAUCUUGGUGUGUAUUUAGCAAUGAUGUCCUUUGAAGUGUUUUUUACUUUAUUGUAAUAAAGCAUAUUCAGGACUUUUACUUUGAGAAAAUUAGAGUGUUUCUAGCAGGCUGACGCUUUGAAUA